ACCUUUUGUGCCUACUGUGUAAUGAGAUAUAUCAGGCUUUGUAUAUCUUGGUUCUACUUGUGACUGGAUCCUGGGCUUCAGAAUAAAAAUAGAGGAUGCCAUGGUUUCCAGGAACUGAAGGGUUAACGAGGGAUGGCUAUAGGGACACAAUUAAAAAAACAAAACGAAAACACCUUAAAAGCAAGGGUCCUGGUUCAGACCCCUCUGGCUUUUAUUCUAUCCAGGUGGAGAAGGAAGUGAAGAAGGCUGCCUUGUUUUAGGGGCCAGGAGCUCGAUCUCAAACUAGGCUGCUGGAGGAGAACACGGAACCCAUAGCUUCGCUUCUAUUGCGUGAGAGCAGCACUCGGUUCUGGCGCAGAGCCUUUCUGUAUAAAUAGAAAGCGCUCAGUUGAGACUUCAGGACAAGAUUCUUCGUGGAGACUUUUUUCAGCUGUCAGCCACCACAGGCGUUAUCCAAAUGGGACGGGUGAAUCAGGUCAACAAACCAUCAGAUGUCACUGUGUGUUUCAGCCUGUGUCAUGGCAGAAAGAUAAGGCAAGAUCGAUAACAUGUUUAUUUUUGAGAGAGAAAGAGAGAGAGAGAGAAUAAGCGCGUGAGUGGAGGAG